GCCUGGGUGGCUCAGUGGUUGAGUGUCUGCCUUGGGCUCAGGGUGUGAUACCGGGGUCUGGGAUCGAGUCCCAGGUCAGGCU
rnacentral:tRNA from 1 species